CUACAUUCUAGAAUGACUAGAUUCUGUUUCUAUGGGGGUAGGGGGGGGGGGAUGCAAUCUUGACAUAGAAAUAGAAUAACUACAUUCUAGAAUGACUAGAUUCUGUUUCUAUGUGGGUAGGUGGGGGGGAUGCAAUCUUGACAUAGAAAUAGAAUAACUACAUUCUAGAAUGACUAGAUUCUGUUUCUAUGGGGGUAGGUGGGAGUGGAUGCAAUCUUUCCGUAGUUCCGUAACAUCAGUAGCCAGGGGCACGUCACAAAGCCCAACACAUGAAUCAUACAACCUUAUUAAGAGAAACAACAAAUCAUCUAUCCUUGUGAAAAUAUCGGUUGAAUCUUUAAGAUUUCACUCAAAUAUUACGCUUCAGGUUUUAAAACUAAUUUACCACAACAAAUGGGUUAUACAUUUUAAGUAAUGACAUUCUGGUGAACAGACCAAUCUUGAAGAGUUGUGUUUCUACAUUGAAAAACAAACUGUAGAUCAAUGAAGUCACUCAGUGUGUUCUAUGAAUACCUCUGCAACCAUAUUACUGUAUGUUUGUACAGAUCUAACAUAGAGAUACAUAGAUAAAAGGACAACUGUUACUCAGCGAAAUUUGAAUGGCAGAACUAACUGAACUGACACUGUGUACGAGGUUACAGGAGGAAACAAGCUGUGAACUGAUUAGACUUUGACAUGAAUUAAUACCUGUUGCUGCAGAGCACUGUGGUGUUCGUUGUUUUAUUAGUAUUUUCAUCUAUCGCAUGCAAUAAACAAAAGAACACCAUAUCAUUUUCAAGAGGGGAAAUAUCUGUUAGAGAUACUACCACCAGAAGAGAUAUCGAAUUUUCAGUUUCAUUUUUGAAUAUGUAAAGUUGGGUGUAAUUCAAUAUAUGUACAAAAUGUUUGACAAUUCUGUUUUUGUAUAGUUGUGUUCAUGGACAGGGGGGGUAUCUUGUACUGUAAAAUGAACAAAAAAUUACUGGACAAUCAAACAGAGAAUUAGGAAAAAUUCUAGAAAGCUAUAAGAGUACGUAGGUUCCAGGUAAGGGAUGAGUACGUUCUGGAGUUAGUUAUUACGUAAGUUCCAGGUAAGGGAUGAGUACGUUCUGGAGUUAGUUAUUACGUAAGUUCCAGGUAAGGGAUGAGUACGUUCUGGAGUUAGUUAUUACGUAAGUUCCAGGUAAGGGAUGAGUACGUUCUGGAGUUAGUUAUUACGUAAGUUCCAGGUAAAGGAUGAGUACGUUCUGGAGUUAGUUAUUACGUAAGUUCCAGGUAAGGGAUGAGUACGUUCUGGAGUUAGUUAUUACGUAAGUUCCAGGUAAGGGAUGAGUACGUUCUGGAGUUAGUUAUUACGUAAGUUCCAGGUAAAGGAUGAGUACGUUCUGGAGUUAGUUAUUACGUAAGUUCCAGGUAAGGGAUGAGUACGUUCUGGAGUUAGUUAUUACGUAAGUUCCAGGUAAGGGAUGAGUACGUUCUGGAGUUAGUUAUUACGUAAGUUCCAGGUAAGGGAUGAGUACGUUCUGGAGUUAGUUAUUACGUAAGUUCCAGGUAAAGGAUGAGUACGUUCUGGAGUUAGUUAUUACGUAAGUUCCAGGUAAGGGAUGAGUACGUUCUGGAGUUAGUUAUUACGUAGGUUCCAGGUAAGGGAUGAGUACGUUCUGGAGUUAGUUAUUAUGUAGGUUCCAGGUAAGGGAUGAGCACGUUCUGGAGUUAGUCAUUAGUAAAAAGAUCCAGGGUGAAAUCCUUGUGAGAGUCAGAUGAUUUGAGCUUGAGAUGGGAUGGGAGGUAGGAUGGGUAUGUGCAUGCGUGUGCACUUGUGUGUGUAUGUGUGCGUGCGCAUCUGUGUGUGUGUGUAUGUAUUACGUGGACAGUGAGCAGAGCAGGUAGAGGUAGGGUCGUCGUUAGGUAGGGCAACGCACUACAAUUCCUCCCUGUACUCUUAGAAAAGAAGGUGCUAUCUAGAACCUGAAAGGGUUUUUCGGCUGUCCCAAUAGGAGAACCCUUUGAAGAACCCUUUUGGGUUCCAAGUAUAACCCUGUUAGUUCUAGGUAGAACCCUUUCGGGUUCCAUGUAGAACCCUUUCUACAGAGGGUUCUGCAUGGAACUAAAAAAGGGUUCUCCUAUGGGGAGAGCCGAAGAACCCUUUUGGAACCUUUUUUUCUGAGAGUGUGUGGUAUAAUUGUGUUAACAUUCUAUUUCAUCUUAUCGUUUUACAAACUGUUGGACUAUAAAACUACAGCCAUUCAUUUGCCUGGUGUUGAAAUGCCAUACUAUAUAUAUCUAGGCGUUUGGUGAACCUUUCUGUGGUCAAAAUGACACAAAAUGGCUGGUUAGACACUGGGGAACAUUGGGGAACAUUGGGGAACCAAGAGACAGGUACCUCUCUAUGCAUUGUGUGUCUCUUUUCAAUGUAGAUUAUGGUGCGACAACUUGCCAGGAUCUACAAGAUGACAUUCAUUAAUGACAAUAAUUAUACAGCGUUGUAUAGAAACUAUUUUUAAUCACAGGAUAUUUUAUCCAGAGAGUUAUUUUAUUAUCAUAUUGAAUAACCUAGAAGAGGAAUGAAGGUGAAACUGAAAGACAUUUCAUAUCAGAGUCUAUAACAAUAUCAUGAUUGAACUGAACUGGCUGAUGCUAAACGUGACGGUGCAUUCUUAGAAUGCAUCCCAAAUGGCACCCUAUUCCCUACCUAGUGCACUACCCCAUAGGGCUCUGGUCAAAAGUAGUGCACUACAUAGGGAAUAAAAGGGGGCCAUUUCUGACUCAGUCUUAGAAUAUGAACGUUAAACUAUAUGGUGUCAAAAUCCACCUUGGGUAGAUAUUUGGGAUCCUCUGAAGUCAUUUUUAAUUGUUCAUGUGGAUUAGUAACAGUAGUUUGACAUAAUCUGUAUGCAGCCAAAAAAAUAUAUAGAUUAUAUUUUGAUGAUUUGUGUUCCCAUUGCAAGUGUCUUUCAACUUUCGGUAAAGUAGCAAUGUAGCCAUUUCCCCCCCAGGCCAGGCCCCACAAACUAAAGACAUUGGUUUGUCUGAGGCCAGGCCCCACAGACUAAAGACAUUGGUUCGUCUGAGUCCAGGCCCCACAGACUAAAGACAUUGGUUCGUCUGAGUCCAGGCCCCACAAACUAAAGACAUUGGUUCGUCUGAGUCCAGGCCCCACAGACUAAAGACAUUGGUUCGUCUGAGUCCAGGCCCCACAAACUAAAGACAUUGGGUCGUCUGAGGCCAGGCCCCACAAACUAAAGACAUUGGUUUGUCUGAGUCCAGGCCCCACAGACUAAAGACAUUGGUUCGUCUGAGUCCAGGCCCCACAAACUAAAGACAUUGGGUUGUCUGAGGCCAGGCCCCACAAACUAAAGACAUUGGUUUGUCUGAGUCCAGGCCCCACAGACUAAAGACAUUGGUUCGUCUGAGUCCAGGCCCCACAAACUAAAGACAUUGGGUCGUCUGAGGCCAGGCCCCACAAACUAAAGACAUUGGUUCGUCUGAGGCCAGGCCCCACAGACAAACGUUUUCAAAUAAGAAACUAUUGCCUGCCUUUCCCUGAGACAUAUCCAAUGUGUGUAACAGGGCGAUUCCAUUUAAAUUCCAGUCAAUUCAGAAAGUAAACCAAAUUCUCAAUUCCAAUUCCAAAUUUCUCCUCUUUGAAAAUCAUUGGAGACAAUCGGAUUUGGAAUUUCAGUUUACUUCCUGAAUUGACUGGAAUUGAAAUGGAUUCGAGCCCAACCCUGAAGUGUAAUAACCCAACACAGAAGUGUAAUACCCCAACACAGAAGUGUAAUACCCCAACACAGAAGUGUAAUACCCCAACACAGAAGUGAGAGCCAGAGGUAAUAAUCUUCUCUUGUUUGCAUUGACCUAGACACCUUUUAACCUCGGAUACAAAAAAAAUACUGUUUUACUCUGAGACAUGAUUCCCUGAAGUUUUAAAACAAACAAAAACAUAUUCUCCUAUUGCACUGGUAUAGUGGAGCUUGUGAAGUGUUUUCCUUUUUACUGUAACCUGAAGUUAUAUUGAUGAUGAUAUGUGAUGAUUUGUGUAAAAGACUGUAUUUCCCCUAUUGAUUAAAAUAUAUUAUACAUGGUUCAUUAAUUUAGGAUGCAUGAUCAGGAUAGCACAGGCCAUGCUUCUGCCAAAGUGUUUCAGAGAGUCAGAAGUGUACUGGAAAGAACCAACACACACACAAAAAAAACGAUUUUGAAACUUUUUAACAUUAACAUUAAAACAUGAAAAACCUACUUUAAAAAAAGGCUGAAAAACAAAAGCAACUAUUUAAAAGGAUGAGUGGUACAGUGUAACUGGCUCGGGCGGUACAAGAUGCUCCUGGCUCAAAGCUGGAACAUAACCGAUUACAUCACCCUUUUUGUAUUUUUGUACAAAACUAAAUGUAAAUAGUAAACCUUUUUAAAAAUGUUGCAAAGAUCUUUUUUCCUUUUUUUUUGUAAAAUAUUUUCAAAAGUUUACAUGAUUAAUUAAUGAAUUAAUUCCAAGCCUUUGUAUAUUUUGGAGCUGUGCAACACUAUUUCAGUCUUGUAUUUAUUUUUUGGGUAAACGUGAGACCUCCAUUGACUGCAUUAUAUCGUAUUGAUUUGACAGCUCAUCCGACUGCUCAGCGACUGGGCAUAGAAAAGGACAAUAAAUGUGACUGCGUUUGAAAAGAAA